rnacentral:RNase_P_RNA from 1 species
GGAAUUGGCUGAGUAGUCGCUGCUUCGUUGACGUCCCUUCAAACUAGUCUGUAUAGGCAAGGGUGGGGGAGACUGACGGAGGGGAGGAAAGUCCGGGCUCCAUAGAGCAGGGUGCCAGGUAACGCCUGGGGGCUGCCGUUUUAAGACGGCGGUCACGACAAGUGCAGCAGAGAGAAAACCGCCGAUGGCCAUUUAGGUGGCACAGGUAAGGGUGAAAGGGUGCGGUAAGAGCGCACCGUACGUCUGGUAACAGUGCGUAGCAGGGUAAACUCCACUCGGAGCAAGACCAAAUAGGCCCUCACAUUGCGUGGCUCGCGUAUGGGGGCGGGUAGGUUGCUUGAGCCAGUGAGCGAUUGCUGGCCUAGACGAAUGGCUACUACCGCGCAAGCGGAUACAGAACCCGGCUUAUAGGCCAAUUCCCUCU